rnacentral:rRNA from 1 species
GUUGGAAACGACUGCUAAUACCGCAUAAUGUCUACGGACCAAAGGGGGCUUCGGCUCUCGCCUUUAGAUUGGCCCAAGUGGGAUUAGCUAGUUGGUGAGGUAAUGGCUCACCAAGGCGACGAUCCCUAGCUGGUUUGAGAGGAUGAUCAGCCACACUGGGACUGAGACACGGCCCAGACUCCUACGGGAGGCAGCAGUGGGGAAUAUUGCACAAUGGGCGCAAGCCUGAUGCAGCCAUGCCGCGUGUGUGAAGAAGGCCUUCGGGUUGUAAAGCACUUUCAGUCAGGAGGAAAGGUUAGUAGUUAAUACCUGCUAGCUGUGACGUUACUGACAGAAGAAGCACCGGCUAACUCCGUGCCAGCAGCCGCGGUAAUACGGAGGGUGCGAGCGUUAAUCGGAAUUACUGGGCGUAAAGCGUACGCAGGCGGUUUGUUAAGCGAGAUGUGAAAGCCCCGGGCUCAACCUGGGAACUGCAUUUCGAACUGGCAAACUAGAGUGUGAUAGAGGGUGGUAGAAUUUCAGGUGUAGCGGUGAAAUGCGUAGAGAUCUGAAGGAAUACCGAUGGCGAAGGCAGCCACCUGGGUCAACACUGACGCUCAUGUACGAAAGCGUGGGGAGCAAACGGGAUUAGAUACCCCGGUAGUCCACGCCGUAAACGAUGUCUACUAGAAGCUCGGAGCCUCGGUUCUGUUUUUCAAAGCUAACGCAUUAAGUAGAC